rnacentral:rRNA from 1 species
UACAGAGGGUGCAAGCGUUGCUCGGAAUUAUUGGGCGUAAAGGGGAGGUAGGUGGUCUUAUUUGUCUGGGGUGAAAUCCCUGAGCUUAACUCAGGAAGUGCCUCGGAAACGGUAAGACUAGAGUUCUGGAGAGGGUCGCGGAAUACCCGGUGUAGCGGUGAAAUGCGUAGAUAUCGGGUGGAACACCAGAGCGAAAGCGGCGGCCUAGACAGAUACUGACACUCAACUCCGAAAGCGUGGGUAGCAAACAGG